rnacentral:sRNA from 1 species
AAAAUAUAAUUAAAUAUUCCCAUAAAUAUCUAAUUAAACCAACCAAUAAAAUAACAAUUAAACCGCAAGUCAAAAAUACUAUUUUAUGAAUAAAUAAAUAAUUCGACCAACAAAACCAAGAAUAACUAACAAUCCUAACCGGGUUCCAAAAACCAAAAACACCAAAAUAAAACAAACGAGUUCCUAGAUCAUCCUCUCUUCCUUGCCAUGAUUCCACGAUCACACUUUAUCUUUACCUGCAUCAACAACACAAUGAGAUGCGUAAGUAUUAUCAUAAAUACUUAGUGAGGCGAUCCUCCCAUCUACGAGCUAUACACACAAGCAAAUAAAAGGGUGUAAUCACGAAUACAAUACAAACAAACAAGUCAUUGAACAAUUCACCCAAAACACAUUCACCACACCUGCAUAUCAUCACACAAAACAAAUCACACAACCCAAUCGCUCAGAUAAGCUCAUGGUCACGCACUCACCUUAACAACUUGAUUCUA